AGCAGCCGCGGUAAUUCCAGCUCCAAUAGCGUAUAUUAAAGUUGUUGCAGUUAAAAAGCUCGUAGUUGAAUUUCGGGAUCGAUACGUCGGUCGUGCCUUCGGUACGCACUGGCGUUUAUCGAUUUCUCCCUUCUGACGAACCAUGAUGUCAUUAAUUUGGUGUUAUGGGGAAUCAGGACUGUUACUUUGAAAAAAUUAGAGUGUUUAAAGCAGGCAUUAGCUUGAAUACGUUAGCAUGGAAUAAUGAAAUAGGACGUUCGAUCCCAUUUUGUUGGUUUCUAGGAUUGACGUAAUGAUUAAUAAGGAUAGUUGGGGGCAUUAGUAUUCAAUUGUCAGAGGUGAAAUUCUUGGAUUUAUUGAAGACUAACUACUGCGAAAGCAUUUGCCAAGGAUGUUUUCAUUAAUCAAGAACGAAAGUUAAGGGAUCGAAGACGAUCAGAUACCGUCGUAGUCUUAACCAUAAACUAUGCCGACUAGGGAUCGGAUGAUGUAAUUUUAUAAUGACUCAUUCGACUAACCG
rnacentral:rRNA from 1 species